GCUUCGAUAGCUCAGUGGUAGAGCGGAAGGUCAGUUCAUUGUCAUCCAAUUUCUAAUGAAGUCAAACUAACGAAGAACAGAUUGCAGUAACAGCAAUAAUCUUCAGGCCGCGUGUUCGACCCACGCUCGGAGCU